rnacentral:rRNA from 1 species
AUGGCCGUCGUCAGCUCGUGCCGUGAGGUGUUGGGUUAAGUCCCGCAACGAGCGCAACCCCGCCGUUAGUUGCCAGCGGUUCGGCCGGGCACUCUAACGGGACUGCCCGCGAAAGCGGGAGGAAGGAGGGGACGACGUCUGGUCAGCAUGGCCCUUACGGCCUGGGCGACACACGUGCUACAAUGCCCACUACAAAGCGAGGCCACCCGGCAACGGGGAGCUAAUCGCAAAAAGGUGGGCCCAGUUCGGAUUGGGGUCUGCAACCCGACCCCAUGAAGCCGGAAUCGCUAGUAAUCGCGGAUCAGCCAUGCCCGCGGUCGAAUACGUUCCCGGGCCUU